UGGAUCAGCUGCCUCCUGCAUGCCCCACACUGGGGAUUGAACCCACAUGUGCCCUGACUGGGAAUUGAACCAACAGUGUCCUCCUGGUUCAUAAGUCAAUACUCAACCACUGAACCGCACCAGCCGGGCAAUAGUUCCUUCUUUUGCUGUUUCCUACUGGGUCUCCUUUCCCCAUCAUUCUUAAGCUUAAUUAUUACAGAACAAAGUCUUAAAUCACUUCUGAAUUCAGUGGUCCUAUCACUGAGGGUUCCUGCAGAUUUCUCAAUGUGAUUGUAUCAUUUUGGUUCUCUUUUUAAUGCGUUACUCCAUAAAGGGAUUCAGAUAGAAAGAUUUACAUAGACUGAAGAAACCAGAUGAUAUAUUGUUCCAGGCCAGGGACCCUAGUUUUUAGGCUUAUAGAGGAACUAGCUCUCAAAGCCAAGACACUUCAGCAAACAUUUAACACACAACACCCAAAUCCUAUAAGCACCCCUAUUUCUCUGGGCCUUAAAAAUUCUUCUACCCUUUCCUGAUCAAAGUACAAUUCUUGGACUAAUUGCACUAUUUGUUUUGCUUGCUUUGGCAUGUUUAUAUAGUGACAUGUAGUUCAUACACUUAAUGAACUCUAAGCUGUUGUCUUAGUAUAUGUGUUGCAUUUCCCUCAACUACAUGGUAAACCUUCGGAGCAAGGACUGUUAACUUUCUAACACUUCUUUCAAGAUGUCUAGUAUCCUAGUACACACCUUAAUAAAUGUGAAUACGUAAAUAGAUUCAUGAAAUCCUAGGCAGGUGUACCCCAUAGCUUAGAUCUCAUAUGUAGUGUGGUCCUCCGAUCAGAUUGGAUUUAUUCCCAAAGUAGUGACUUUGCUGCCUUUUUUAAAUGGAAAACUUAAAGGAGAAAUGCAAGGACUUGGGAUAAAAAUACCUUUUUUUUUUAAUCCUCACCUAAGGAAUUUUUCCCAUUGCUUUUUAGAAAGAGUGGGGGGCUUGGGCGGGGGGCGGGAGGAUUGAGAGAAACCGAUUCGUUGCCCCCCACAUUCAUUCCUACCAGGGCUGGGGAAUGUUUGAGAGACCCUUCAAUGGGUGUCUGAUGCUCUAACCCACUGAGCCACACCGGCCAGGGCAAAAAAAACCCAUUUUCCUACUGAAAAUAAUAGUUGAAAGUACUUUGAUUAAUUUUAAUCCUCAAAUAGUAUUAGCCUCAUUUUGCAGUUUGAGGAAAUAGGCUCAGAGAUGGUAAAGUGGCCUAGAACUUGAAUCCAAGUCUCUUGGUGACAAGUUUUUGUUUUACUACUGCAUUGCUUUUUUAAAGCCAGCCAGUCAUUUCCAGUGGGGAGGUUAGGUGGAUUAGUUUUAGAACAUAGCUUGUAAUACCCGCCUGAUGCCACCAGGGUGUCCCAUGGUGCUGUCUUUGAUUCAUUUUUUUAACCCUGGUUUCUGGGGGCAGUUCCAAAGCAGGAGUUAGUCUAGUCACAGUGGCCAUAACCCGGAGCCCAGCAGCCAGAAAGUGAUGUGUUUAGCUCCCUGGCUUUCCAGUGUGCAGUGCACAGCCAGAAUCAGAGAAGCCCUUACCCUCUUUUGACCCCUACUCAUCAGGGUGGCACCACAAAAGGACAGUAGGCCAUGCAGUGGCCAGAGCCUGGCUAGCACUCUAGCUAGGCAGCAGCCCCACAAAGAAAUGUAGCAUAGAAACAACUGGGUAAAUGUCUAUAAACACCUGCAUUUGUUUUGGUAACUACACAAAUUUGUAUUAGUAAAAUAGAUCCACGACAUAAAACCAGAUUGAAUUGCUUUACCACUGCAGGUUAGAUAGCUUUUAACUGAUUUCAGAGGGAGAGAGAAAUACCAAUGAUUCUCGAAAUACCAAUGAUGAGAAUCAUUGGUCAGCUGCCUCCUGCACACACCACAAUGGGAUCAAGUUCACAACCGGGCAUGUGCCCUUGGCGGGAAUCAAACCUGGGACCCUUCAGUCUACAGGCUGACACUAUCCACUGAGCCAAACCGGCUAGGGCGGCAUCAGUUUCUAUAUUCUGCAAUCCUAGGUGACAGUUCUGUGUCAGAGCUAACACUUAUGUGAGAACCAAUAAAGUGAAGUCUUGAUUUAAUAUUAAGACGACAAAUAGCCCCUUUUAAAAAGCUGCUUCCUUCCUAGUGCUCUUUAAGCACUUUGUGCAAACUAGUCUAUAUUACUUUUCUUUACUGGAGGAGAUUCUGAAAAGUAUUUCCAGUGACUAGCACAGUUUCUGGCAUUCAAUGGGUGCUGAAUAAAUAUGUUUACUGAAAUAGCAAAACCAUAAUAGUUACAGAAUAGUUCUGCACAUGAGCUAUUUUUUAAGGAGAGAGUCCACAUUAAGGGGGGGUCUUUGUUUUGUCUUCAAACUGAUUAGAAUAUAUUAUGAACUAGGAAGUUAGUCUCUGGGGUGUCCUGACUGGUCUUUCAAAAUCUUGUCAAAUCUUAGUUGUAAUUAGUGCAACCUGAACUGGGGGCUUUAUCUGAGCUGAUUCUCUAUAUAAUCACCCAUGCUAUAUCUCUAGGACCAAGUGUUUACCAGGUGGCACUUGGAUCCACCAGGAGACACUAAAUUAAACAUUAAUUGGAGAUGUUGGACUUGUGCCUUCCUCCUCCUCCCUCCCUCCCUGUUUUUGCAGGAGAAUUUCCAUCCCAAAAUUCUGGUUUUAAGAUCACUAUGGAAUAAAUCACAAACUUACCUCUAGUAGUCAAGCUUCCCUUUCAAUUUUCUUAGCUCUGGUGAAGAGGGCUAAUCAGAUUAUUAAUACCAACUUGGAUCCCUUCAUACGCUUUGCCUAGGUCAGUGGUCGGCAAACUCAUUAGUCAACAGAGCCAAAUAUCAACAGUACAAUGAUUGAAACUGCUUUUGAGGGCCAAAUUUUUCAAACUUAAACUAUAUAGGUAGGUACAUUGUUAUUAAUUAGGGUACUCCUAAGGCUUAGGAAGAGCCACACUCAAGGGGCCAAAGAGCCACAUGUGGCUCGCGAGCCGCAGUUUGCCGACCACGGGCCUAGGUGAUCAGAGUAACUGCCCCAGCAUAAUAACUGUGUGUAUUGGACAUUUAUAAGGACUUCCUCAGGCAAAAGGCAGAAAUAAUAUGUAUCCCAACUCCCAGAAUAUCUGUUUCUGGGAUUGGUUUAUACCUUUAUGCUCAGGAAGCGUUUUCACUGGCUUGGAUUCACUACUUGCCAUCUGCUUUCUAAGCAUUCACUGCUGAAUGAAAGGGGAGAGAAAGUAAAAGGGGAGGGGGGAGGAGGAGGGAGCUAGAAAAAACAGGAGGAAACAGCUGGGGAGCUGGGUUGGGGCUAUGCUUAUGUAAGAUCAGUGAAACAAAGUUAGCAGGGACAGGGUCAGGCCUUGCAGGUAGAGAGCUAAUUCUGUCAACUAGUUGAGUAGGGCCUUGUUUUGUUAGAGAUACUAAAGUUACUUCAAAGGAAAAAUCCAGAUGUUCUGAAUCUGACUGUUUUCCCUGUGUACCAUCCUAAAUUGUUUAUUGAAUCAAAUAUCCUGCCCUCUAGGAAUUCUGGUCCUCUUUAGGUCUAGCAGAGAGCUUGAUGCCACUGCUCAGGCAACCAAAGGUGAAAUGCUUCUAGUAGUAUUGGUGUUUUAUUGACAGCCUGAGGAGGAAAUGAGUGCAGUUGUUGUCCCUCCAUAGAGCUUACCAGGCCCCUGUACCUGCUUUUAUGCCAGGACCCAAUGACUGUAGAACUUGAGGCAGCUUCUAGUUCAGAGACUUCUCAGGGUCAAGAAACAACUUUACAGGAAUUAAUUCCCUCUCUUGGAAUCUUAGCCAGCCUUUAUGCUGUCUUGGCCUGUGUCCCAUCUCUUGGCAUUGCUUUCCAGAAUGGAGCAGACUUCCUAAAGCUUAGUCUAGGUAGUCUGGUGGUAAUCACAUCAGUGUCUUAGGUCACCACACUCCCUUCCCUCAGAUUCCUCAACACAGGUUUCAGUAGUUCUUGUUCCCUUCAACUGAGAAAUGGAGGGAUCCUCAGUUGAAAAUCAGAUUUACCCAAUGAAGCUUUUAAAAAAUCUAAGCCAAUGAAAGGGAGAGGAAGGAGUAUCAGAAAAACAGAGCCAGAAACAAAAUCCUUUCCGAACUCUGAACUAUCCUCAAAUUUGGUAUGAUGAAGACACUGAAUAGCUGUUUCUACUGGAGUUUGGGUAAAGAGGAUUCACUUGAUAUAUCUAUGGUUUUGCUCUCCCCCUACCUACACUUCACAAGAGCAUUUACAAGUAGUAAUUUAAAAAAAAGUGGGGUUUUUUUUGCCAAUGAAUAGCAUUUUUCUGGUAAUGUAGAUGGAUAGCACAAUACUGGUUAGUGUCAUUACAUCCCUCUUAACCAGUGGAAUGAGUUGGAGGCUUUAGCUAUACUGUAAAAAGCUUUACUUCUGUACCAGAAUAACUUUAUAUAAGGAUUUAAGUUAUUUUUUACAAUUAGCCGAUUUUUGGUUUUUUAUUUCAGAGGAGGGGAGAGGGAGAGAGAGCUAGAAACAUCAAUGAUGAGAGAGAAUCAUUGAUCAGCUGCCUCCUGCACGCCUGCAACCUGGGCAUGUGCUGUAGGGGAUUGAACCUGGGAUCCUUCAGUCUGUAGGCCGACGCUCUAUCCACUGAGCCAAACCAGCUAGGGCAAACUGAGCUAAACUUUGUAGUUCAGUUCAGACCCACCAAAUUGAGUGACGUUUUAAGUAUCAACUUUUUCAAGUUCAGCCUUUACCCUGGGCUUGGGGCAUUUGAGGGCAGGGAGGAACAGGUGUCCAAAGGAGAAAUGUUGGUGCCUGAGAGUAUGUUUUCCAGUUGUAUUGAAUUUCUUACUUGGUGUAUUUUUGACCUUAGUUUCUUUCCUUCUUGUGUCCUAUACUAUUUUGCUUACUAUUUAGGAGCUGUAAAAUGUCAGUAUUUCUGAUCAAAUGCUUUCUGGAUGUAACUGAUAGGCUUAGCAUUGAUUUAUGGUAGCUUCUUUCAAGAAGCGUUAAGGUGAUAAAUGUGUUUCCAUGGCUUUAGACUUGUUUUUGGUAUAUUGGGUGUGUGCCCUUCUUAGAAACAGUAGAGUAUUGAAGAACCCUCAACUACUAGUUGAACUAGGAAAAUGGGUAGAUUUGUUCCCUGUUCUUUUGUUCUCUGUGAUUAUUUUCCAGCUCUCAAGGAACUUAAUAGUUAUGGGGGAAGGGGAGGGAAGAAGGAAGAUCUUUAUUGUUUCCCCUUCCUCACCUUCACAGUUAAAACAAAAAUAACUGGUGAUGCCACUUUAGGUAGUAUAAUUGAAACAAAAACCCAACUUCUGACCACAUGGGCCACAGACAUUUGGCUUAAGCCCUCAAGUGUGUUUAUGGAGCUUGGGUAGAGUGGAGGGGGUGGGAAGAGUACUUCUGCAUUCCUCUCAAGGAGAUUUGGUUGUUUUUGUUUGGAGGAGAGGGGUUUCCCUUUGGUCCGGUGUAAAGUGUGCUUCCUUUUCUCAAUUGCAUUGAGGCUGGAAAUGAAGGAUAACAUUUCUGGUCACUUUUUUGGUAUUUCUAAAUAUUGCAGUCUUGAUUUUUACUAGAUUUGUGAAUUGUCAGUCGUCACUUUUUUUCAUGAGUUAGUCCAGUAUCUUGAUAGUUUGAAGCUUCUUCUAACUAGAUCUUCUCUACUGAAAGUUUGGAUUUGAUUUGUUUUUGGUUUGUUGAGUGGUCUUAUGUGGGGACAGGUAAUGAAGCAGAGAUGCUUUCUAUUCCUAGGAUUCUAAAUCUAAUCCUAAUCCUUAAUGUACUCAUAGGAUUUAAAAGUCCUCUUCAAUAUAGGAAGGAAAUAUCCUGUGGCUUUUUAAUGUCUGCUAAAAAUUGUCUUUAGAAAAGCUAAUCUUAAUAGGCAUCUUCCUUUGUCAUGUGUCAUUAGCCUUUUAGCCACUUACCCUUAGGGCUCUUGAAGGAGAGGGAUAGGGCAUGAUGAAAAAUUUGUCACUUUCAAAGGAAGAGGAAUAGCCCUGGCCAGCAAGCUCACUGGUUAGAGCAUAGGCCUGCACACUGGAGGGUCUGAGGUUUGAUUCCAGGGCAAGGUUGUCAAGGACACAUACCUGGGUUGCAGGUCUGAUCUCUGCUCCCCAUUGGGGUGGAAGGCAUCCAAUUCAUGUGUCUGUCACAUCGAAGUUCCUCUCCCCUCCUCCCUUCUCCCUUCCACUUUUUAAAAUCAAUGGAAAAAAUAUCCUCACUCCUUGGGUGAGGAUUUUUAAAAGAAAGGAUUAAUUAAUUGGCUCUUAUGCAGCUGUUAAUGGGGAACCACUCAAUAACACCAAUAAAAACAUUUACUGAGCUUCUGUUAUAUUCUAGGAAAUACUCUUAAGCAUUUUACAUAUAUUUCUCAUUUAAUCCAAAAAUCACCUGUAUAAGAUAGGUAUUUACUUUGUCCUCAUUUUCCAGAUGAGGAAACUGAGGCCUUAAAAGGUUGACAGGUUAUACAAGCUGAGGCAGGGGGAUAAGGGUGGUAAAGAGGAUAGGGAGGGAAUCUUGAGUAUUAUUUGGGUGAAUGUAGGCACAGUGUAUUUUUUGCUUAGGCACCAAACAUUUUAGUUAUUCAUCAUAUCUGAGGGUAAUACUCUUUAUUCACUCACUGAACGCUGUUUACAAUAAUCAAGGUAAAUUUACUGUCUUGAGACAUCCCUAGUCUCUUUUUUCCCCCAUCCUUAGUCUUUUUACUGGACCCCAGUAUGGUCUGUGGAGGGGCUCAUUUUGUUUGUGAUUAAAGAUAUUGUCUCUCCUAAGGAUAAGCAGAAAUGCCCCUUCUAAAAAAACAGUCUUUGAUCUUACUGGUUUCAUUAUAUUCCUCAAAACAGUUGGAGCUGAUUGUUUUUGCAUAAUUGUUCUUAGGUUUAAAACUUCAUCUUAAUUUAAUAAGUGGUUAGAUUUCCUUUUUAAGGGAGGGCUUGGGGAGCAAUCAGGAAUUCUGGUUUCACCUAUGGACAGAGAUAAAAUUAGACAUUUUCCUUAAGAAAAGUGUGAUACUUCUGAAUCCCAGCUCUUCAAUAAUGAGAACUGAACUGUUUUCACUUGACCUCUACUUCCUGUUAGUGGGAAACCCUCUCCAGCAGUGCUGGGAGAAAGUUGAUGGAGAAAGUUUUCUAGAUCCCAGGAUAAGGUAUUCAAGAGUCCCGCAAUAUUGUCAUUAGAAUAAUGGUCUUCAUUAAAUACGAAUUUUCACAAUCUUGAAGCUCACUUUCACCACAGUUUGAAAGGCAACCAAGAGGCUACAGAGGGGAGGAGGAAAUGAGAUGAACUCCAGAGGCCAGAAAGAAGCCCAUCUUCUUUACUGAAUGAAAAUGAAAGAACAUGUAAUGUCCAAGACCAGAGCAAAAAGGUCUUAAACUAGUUAAUUCCUUAGGUAUCUUAAUUCCCUCCCUAUCUUGCAUGCAUACAUAAACUUUAGGCUUCCUAAUUCCUUUUUCUUUCCAAAGGAGACUAAUGGACAUUUAUAGGAGACAAGGGACAUGGGAGCAGUUUAGCUGAAGGAAUGUAUCAGAAACUUCAUUUUCUGUCCCCUCCUGUCUUAGGCUGAGUGGUUCCUGGAUGUGUUUAUCUGCUUCUGCUACUGAUCCAAACUGCAGAACUCAUUCCUCCCCGAGGCCUGCAAGCAGUAACCAAUUGUGUAUUUAUGGGAAAAGUUGGAGAUGGUGACCUUGAUUAGAAUGUGUCUGGAGAGGAUGAUAGGAGACAGUUGGUUACGAAAGAUGUUGAAGUCUUGAAUACUACCUCUAUGUGAGGAAAGGAUAGAAAACGUUCAGACAUCAUCAUCCAGUACCAGUAGCAGUGACGCCUACACGGAAGACUUGGAACUGCAAACAGAUGCUGGGGUCACCUCAGUGACAUCUGACGCUGUCCAACCAGAAGUUCGAUUUUUGUUUUGAGGGGUGAGGAAGCUGACUGUACUAACGGAUUAAAAUAAUUUCUUGACUGCAGUU